rnacentral:misc_RNA from 1 species
GCGGCAUUUACCUCUGCAGGAGAAAAGCCUAUUUUUUCAGCAUGAUCUAUAAGGAUCUCAGAGAUUAGGCUGCCAUCAUCAACAUAAACCCGAAGCUCGUAUUUACUACUCUGUUUAUACUGAAAUCCCUUCACACCAGUAAGAAAGCACUUAAUUUUUCCUGUAACAGUGGAAGCACUGCCAUUCACACCAGCCUGCUUAGC